GCCUUCAUGGUGUAAUGGUCAGCACACUCGGCGCGUAUUCGAGAGGUCCGAGGUUCGAGUCCUGGCGAGGCCC
rnacentral:tRNA from 1 species